AGUGAACGCUGGCGGUAGGCCUAACACAUGCAAGUCGAACGGCAGCACAGUAAGAGCUUGCUCUUACGGGUGGCGAGUGGCGGACGGGUGAGGAAUACAUCGGAAUCUACUUUUUCGUGGGGGAUAACGUAGGGAAACUUACGCUAAUACCGCAUACGACCUACGGGUGAAAGCAGGGGAUCUUCUGACCUUGCGCGAUUGAAUGAGCCGAUGUCGGAUUAGCUAGUUGGCGGGGUAAAGGCCCACCAAGGCGACGAUCCGUAGCUGGUCUGAGAGGAGGAUAGGCCACAUUGGAACUGGGCCACGGUCCAGACUCCUACGGGAGGCAGCAGUGGGGAAUAUUGGACAAUGGGCGCAAGCCUGGUCCAGCCAUACCGCGUGGGUGAAGGAGGCCUUCGGGUUGUAAAGCCCUUUUGUUGGGAAAGAAAAGCAGCAGGUUAAUACCACGCUGUUCUGACGGUACCCAAAGAAUAAGCACCGGCUAACUUCGUG
rnacentral:rRNA from 1 species